UUAACACAUGCAAGUCGUGGGGAAACGGCAUUAUGUGCUUGCACAUUCUGGACGUCGACCGGCGCACGGGUGAGUAUCGCGUAUCCAGCCUGCCCCUUACUUGGGGAUACCCCGUUGAAAGACGGCCUAAUACCCGAUGUGUUUCAUUGACGGCAUCCGAUAUGAAACAAAGGUUUUUCCGGUAAGGGAUGGGGAUGCGUCUGAUUAGCUAGUUGGCGGGGCAACGGCCCACCAAGGCGACGAUCAGUAGGGGUUCUGAGAGGAAGGUCCCCCACAUUGGAACUGAGACACGGUCCAAACUCCUACGGGAGGCAGCAGUGAGGAAUAUUGGUCAAUGGACGCAAGUCUGAACCAGCCAAGUAGCGUGCAGGAUGACGGCCCUAUGGGUUGUAAACUGCUUUUAUGUGGGAAUAAAGUGGCGCACGUGUGCGCCAUUGCAUGUACCUCAUGAAUAAGGACCGGCUAAUUCCGUGCCAGCAGCCGCGGUAAUACGGAAGGUCCGGGCGUUAUCCGGAUUUAUUGGGUUUAAAGGGAGCGUAGGCCGGAGAUUAAGUGUGUUGUGAAAUGUAGACGCUCAACGUCUGACUUGCAGCGCAUACUGGUUUCCUUGAGUACGCACAACGUUGGCGGAAUUCGUCGUGUAGCGGUGAAAUGCUUAGAUAUGACGAAGAACUCCGAUUGCGAAGGCAGCUGACGGGAGCGCCACUGACGCUUAAGCUCGAAGGUGCGGGUAUCGAACAGGAUUAGAUACCCUGGUAGUCCGCACAGUAAACGAUGGAUGCCCGCUGUUGGUACCUAGUAUCAGCGGCUAAGCGAAAGCAUUAAGCAUC
rnacentral:rRNA from 1 species